GACGAACGCUGGCGGCGUGCUUAACACAUGCAAGUCGAACGGAAAGGCCCUGCUUUUGUGGGGUGCUCGAGUGGCGAACGGGUGAGUAACACGUGAGUAACCUGCCCUUGACUUUGGGAUAACUUCAGGAAACUGGGGCUAAUACCGGAUAGGAGCUCCUGCUGCAUGGUGGGGGUUGGAAAGUUUCGGCGGUUGGGGAUGGACUCGCGGCCUAUCAGCUUGUUGGUGGGGUAGUGGCUUACCAAGGCUUUGACGGGUAGCCUGCCUGAGAGGGUGACCGGCCACAUUGGGACUGAGAUACGGCCCAGACUCCUACGGGAGGCAGCAGUGGGGAAUAUUGCACAAUGGGCGGAAGCCUGAUGCAGCAACGCCGUGUGCGGGAUGACGGCCUUCGGGUUGUAAUCCGCUUUCGCCUGUGACGAAGCGUGAGUGACGGUAAUGGGUAAAGAAGCACCGGCUAACUACGUG
rnacentral:rRNA from 1 species